CAUUGCCAGUCAACGGUCACCACGCAAAAAGUCUAAAAACACAAAUUUUUUUGUCCAAAGUAAUUAUCUUUCCCUUGUAGCUUUAAAAAAAUUCCACAUCUCCCCACUGCUACCUUUGGUCUCACAGUACAAUGACAAGGAGGGAGAGGAUUGGUUAAAACAGCCCUGUCAGCUGUUUGCUCUUCUUUUUGUCCCACUCAGUAAUUUGCAGCUUUAGAGCACUAUGGAGAUAAGAGACAUAAGAGCACUCCAUGCUUUGGGAGUUUUGAUAACCAAACCCAACACUUCCUCACCAUAGAUCUCAAGCUGCAAAAGACAUUGAGUGAUAUACAGUACUUUACUGCGAGAUCCUUAGAAGUGCUACCUGCCAGCCUCAUCACCUCUGCAGUGAGCUAUUCCAGAAAUGGGUAGUAUACACACAGCAGCAGUAGCACUCACCUGCCUAUUGUGGUUGGAAUCUUCAGAUCUGUAGGUAUGCAGGCCAAAGCAAAUUGAAGCCUGGUCCUCUGGUCUCACUCAAUUGAUUAGACUGAGCUUGAACUUGCAAGCCUCCUGACACAGCCGUCCAGAGUGCUGGAAGUAGGAGUGUGCACUACCAACCUUGCCUAGGAGCUCCAAUCUUUGCCUUCACCUUGGAUGUUAUCUCCUGGCUUGUGGGGCAGACUCUUCAGCCUUCCAAUACAGACUCUUCAGCCUCCAGCAUCAACAUGUUAGCCUUCCAGCACAGACCCUUCAGGCUUCCAUUACAGAUGCUUUGGCCUCCUGAUAUGAACUCAAUGAGACACUGCAGUGACCUCCAGGCCUUUGACUGGGUCCUUCAGAUCUCCAAUGUGUAGACAGA
rnacentral:lncRNA from 1 species